GACGUAGGUGGCGAACGUUAUCCGGAAUUAUUGGGCGUCAAGGGUGCGUAGGCGGCAUGAUAAGUUAUUGGCGGCAAAUCGAGGCUCAACCUCGUGGAAACUAAUAAUACUGUCUUGCUUGAGUGCAGAAGAGGUUAACGGAACUCCAUGUGGAGCGGUAAAAUGUGUAGAUAUAUGGAAGAACAUCAAUAACGGCGAAGGCAGUUAACUAUUCUGUUACUGACGUUGAGGCACGAAAGCGUGGGGAGCAAAAAGG
rnacentral:rRNA from 1 species